CUAACACAUGCAGUCGAGCGGUAGAGAGAAGCUUGCUUCUCUUGAGAGCGGCGGACGGGUGAGUAAUGCCUAGGAAUCUGCCUGGUAGUGGGGGAUAACGUUCGGAAACGGACGCUAAUACCGCAUACGUCCUACGGGAGAAAGCAGGGGACCUUCGGGCCUUGCGCUAUCAGAUGAGCCUAGGUCGGAUUAGCUAGUUGGUGAGGUAAUGGCUCACCAAGGCGACGAUCCGUAACUGGUCUGAGAGGAUGAUCAGUCACACUGGAACUGAGACACGGUCCAGACUCCUACGGGAGGCAGCAGUGGGGAAUAUUGGACAAUGGGCGAAAGCCUGAUCCAGCCAUGCCGCGUGUGUGAAGAAGUUCUUCGGAUUGUAAAGCACUUUAAGUUGGGAGGAAGGGUUGUAGAUUAAUACUCUGCAAUUUUGACGUUACCGACAGAAUAAGCACCGGCUAACUCUGUGCCAGCAGCCGCGGUAAUACAGAGGGUGCAAGCGUUAAUCGGAAUUACUGGGCGUAAAGCGCGCGUAGGUGGUUUGUUAAGUUGGAUGUGAAAUCCCCGGGCUCAACCUGGGAACUGCAUUCAAAACUGACUGACUAGAGUAUGGUAGAGGGUGGUGGAAUUUCCUGUGUAGCGGUGAAAUGCGUAGAUAUAGGAAGGAACACCAGUGGCGAAGGCGACCACCUGGACUAAUACUGACACUGAGUGCGAGAGC
rnacentral:rRNA from 1 species